UUACGCUACGGAUCCAAACGUAUUAAUUCCGAAGAUAGUUCCAGUGGUUGAGAGCGGAAUACUCGAACGAGCAUUUAACUCGACCAACGAAAAUACGAUGCGCUUCCGGUUGUUAGCGGGAUCACGAUGCGCAGGAUGCAGACGCGCGUCGCGUGCAAUAUGACAGUUAUAAUGCGGAGAGCAAGUCAAUGGAAAUGUUUUUUGCCAGUCUAACGGAAUUCGUGCGCUGACCAGAGAAGCGAGCGUUCAGUGCCCGCUAAUUUUGUGGACGAUUUACCGUCUUCCUCUUUCUCAUCUAAAUGUCUUACGCUCUCGAUCUGCGAGAUUUCCUUGAACGUA